CAGUAGCCACGGUAAUACGUAGGUGGCAAGCGUUGUCCGGAAUUAUUGGGCGUAAAGGGCUCGCAGGCGGUUUCUUAAGUCUGAUGUGAAAGCCCCCGGCUCAACCGGGGAGGGUCAUUGGAAGCUGGGAAACUUGAGUGCAGAAGAGGAGAGUGGAAUUCCACGUGUAGCGGUGAAAUGCGUAGAGAUGUGGAGGAACACCAGUGGCGAAGGCGACUCUCUGGUCUGUAACUGACGCUGAGGAGCGAAAGCGUGGGGAGCGAACAGGAUUAGAUACCCCAGUAGUCCCUGUCUCUUAUAC
rnacentral:rRNA from 1 species